GAGGGUAUAGCUCAGUGGUAGAGCGCAUGCUAAGGACUCACGAGGUCCUGGGUUCGAUACCGAGUACCUCCA
rnacentral:tRNA from 1 species